GGAAUUCGCGGCGCAGCUUGCGCACCAGGAAGCGUUCGGGGCGGGCUGGCGGCGGCGGGGGUGCGUCGGGCACGGAGGGUUCGAAUCCCUCCGGUUCCGCCA
rnacentral:tRNA from 1 species